rnacentral:lncRNA from 1 species
CUAGGUGCCUUCCCCUUAACCCCCUGGGAACAAAUUAAACAGAACAAUAUUAACAAUUUCACAAACACACUGAGUAAUAAAGGAUAUCAAAUAAGUUCUGACUGAGCAACAAACUCUCACAGAACAUACCAAAGCUGCUCCCACCUACAACUAACAUAGUACAUACCAACUGCCUGAGAAACCACCAACAUAUGCUAAUAACCAUCAGCGAUCCUCACGCAGCACAAUCCUCUCUCUCCUGAACAACAGAACACUGGCUUUUAUAACUGGAGAAGGAGUCUAAUGGGAUACAGCUGUUCACAAUAACAGUGGAGGCUGGCUCAGCUGGGUCUUUGGGAGUGGAAYAGCUAAUAAGAAGGAGGUUCAUCUACCUGAGGACAAAGACAGAUCUGUUAGGAACUGGUUCUUAACACUAUAUUCUAUGUAGAGACAAUUGAGUGGAUUUUGUUUAAAAAAAAUUGUGGCUUGCUUCACAUUGCUAAUAUCUUCUUCCUCAGAUUGUCUGGGAUCCAACUCUGCACAGAUGGGUUAACAAAACUGAGCCCAAGGCUGAGGACAAGUGUGUACCACCACCUCCACCGAUGGGGACAUAUGGAUAUCAGGGGAACACUGGCAGUGUCCCCAAAGGAGUGAAUCCCUACUCUAUGAAAGCAGGUGAAUAUUGCUUUAGAAUACAUGUGGUUUAACCAAAACUGUGUCAGCCAAUCAUAGAUGUCCCUGGUGAUCUCCUGCUAACACCUUUCCCACUACCAGCAGGUCUAUGGGGRAGCAGAUACCCUACAAUGCAUUUCAAUGAUGGGACCAACUCAAAGCCUCCAAGCCAUGGGCCUGGACUGCUUACUAAACAGCUCUCUGGCUUGCUCCCUCCUUCACACUUUGACCUCAUGGCACCAAUGGUUGUGCCACCUGACACUCUACCUUACUGAGGCCCAAGACAUAAAGUUGCCUGAAAGCUGUGUAGCUAUAAUUCCUGCUCCUGACCCAUAGGAUGGUAAUCACAUACAUGAUUGGCUUAAUCAAGAAUCAUGGAUACCUUUCAUGUGAGUACUCACACACCAGAUUUUUUUUACAUACCUCAGAAGGAAGAUACCUCAAUAUCUGGAAGCACUGUCUCAUGUACAAUUGUUAAUGCUAUCUCUGAAAUGUCUAACAAAAUGUUGACUUGAUCGUUUCAUCAAGACCCUCUCAUCACAAGUUGGAACUAGUGGUCAACAUUGGGACAAUGCAGCCCAAAAUAACAGGGCUGAAUAUUUUCAUGGAGGUAAGCACUACACUUCUGAUGGGUU